AGCGGGGGAGGGGCAGAGGGAGAGGAUCGCAAGCAGAUUCCCUGCGGUGUGGGGAGCCCUACAUGGAGCUGGUUCCCAGCAGCCCAAGAUCAUGACGGGAACCAAAACCAAGAGAGGGACGUUCCACCGAGUGAGCCAUCCAGAUGCCCUAACAAAACGAUGAGAUUCUAGGGCGCUGAAAACCCCAGUCUGCUUCUCUCAAGUUCCUCCACCAGGUGCCCCCUUCUCCAGAGGAGGAAAAAUUUGACACAUUCUCCCUCAGAGAGCUGUGAGGAGGAAAGCCAUGUACGCAAAAUAAUGAAUAUAAUGAUGUGCUGGACUGACAGCCAAGCCUCCCAGGAAUAGAUUUUAUUUUUUAAGAGUGGUUUUGAACCCACUUAAAACUCUCAUUACCUCACUCGAGGGUUGGCUGAUGAAUAGAUGGUUUCGCUAUAGUGAUUUGAAAAUUCUAUACAUGACUCAGAGCUCAUCACAGUCUCUCCCCCUCCUCAACAGCUGGGAUGACAGGAGAACUGCAGACAGAAGAAGGAAAGAAGGACGUGUUCCCAUUACCAGCACUCUGUGUAAG